UUAUUUUUGGUGUCUUUUAAGCUGAGAUUGGUGUCUUGCUUUUGUGUAAAAAGCUAAAUCCUCUCUCUCCCAUUCACAAACGUCCAACGCCUCCUUCGCUUCAUUCUAUCUCUCCUCUCCCUCUUCUCUUCACGCAACAGCGUCGACAAUGGGAGUCGAAGACAAACGACGAUGAUGAGAACACCAACGACCGUCAACUUGUACCUCCAAAAUCCUCUUCCCGUCCUCUUUCCAACUCCCAAGUUAGUUUCAACAAAUUCGAAGCUGAAUUAUUUCAAUUUCAGAUCUAAGAAACGGUAACCGCGGGUUUUCCGGCCAAUUUACGGCCAAGCUUGCCGGAAUUGGAGACCUCGACCCAAUAGGUUCUCUGAUAAAAUUGGUGUAUUUCUCAACGAAGAGUGACGAUUCGUCUUCUUCAAUGAGAGUUUAGCAGCUUCUAAUGGCGAUAGAGGGCGUCCUGUUCUUGAAGGGAAGCUCCAUUUUGCAAAGUUUGGAACUUAGAAAAUCAAUGACUGUAUAGACUUCAUUCGAUCCAAGCAACUUCGCCUUACUGUGUUCAUGUUGAAAUCUUGGAUUGCAAGUUCAAACUACCAUUUUUAUAGGUAAAUGAACUACUUCAGCUUAAGUAAUUAGUACCCAUAUUUUUUACUGCAAAAGUUUUGUAGUUUCAGAAGAUUUAAACUUCUGAAAAUGAAAUACGAAAGAAGAUCAUAUAUGCCCUGAAUAUAGCUGAUUGUUCAGUAGUUGUAGCUAUCAUUUUCUGUUUUGGGUCAUUGCUUAUGGUUGUAGAUGAUUUCAGGCUCCCAACAACAUGGAGCUUCUGGGCGCACGAAGUGCGUUAUUAUGGCCGCAGGUGGUGGGGCAUUCAAUUACGCAGAUCUUUUUAAAGAAAAGCUUGGGAUUUCUCUUGACAAGGCAGAUGAAAUGGACUGUCUUGUGGCCGGAGCAAAUUUUCCGCUUAAGAUGGGAUCCUAAUACCACUUACAUUCAAUCUAAUCCUUAUAUUCAGUACUUACUUUAAGCAUUUUGGUCUACUUACUAGUUGUACAGCUACUUGUGUAUUAAAUGUCUUUAUAUAUAUGUUUUGCAUUCAGUCUAAUCCUACAAGUGUUAAAUAUAUAACAUUUAGUACUUAUUGUAAGCAUUUGUCCGAUGCCUUAGCAAUUGUUGCUACUCCACUUUAAUUCUGGUGGACUAAUGAUCUAGCAUAUGUUUUUGCAUACUUCACUUAUAGUUUUCUUUUACUGUUAUAUUCUGCAAUAUCAAUUCAUGGUCUAGGGAGAAACAGAGAGGAAGAUUUUCAAAAAAGAAAUUUUUUAUUUUUUAUUUAAUUGCAAGUUUGCACCCUUUUGUGAUUCCUCGUUUUAAUGUUUCAGCUUGGUGGUGAUUAUAUUUUUGGGCUACCUAUUGGCUUUGUUGCAGAUUCAAUUGGAGCCACUUUAGGUGCAGGGGCUGCUUUCCUUCUCGAAAGAACUUUGAAGUUGCAGAAGGGUUGCAGCAAAUUUGUGGAGAUUUUUGUAUGGUAAGUUAUGACUGCAAACCCCUUGGAAAUCUACUUGUCCCAGGCUGCAACUGAUGAUCAGAUUCAAGUUAUUGAGAUGAUUGAGCUCUUGGAAACAAAGGGUUCGAAGACUUUUUAAAGUUUGCUUCCACCAUUUGUACAAAAUUGUAUAAAAUGUCAGUUAUGCAAAUUUAUAGUUGUAUUCUUAUAUUUUAAUGAUAUUACAAUUUGUUUUCUCACCAA